UUAAUUCUCAACGGCUAUGCACGAUACGACGUCGUUGCCCAAACUGCAAUAUAUCAGCGCGUUCCUUUUCCUCAAUGCACAACACAAACAGCACCUCUUCACACUCUCGGAAGGCUUCGUCACUGACCGAGUAAUCGACUCCAAAAACUGUGAUGGAUGAUCAGGACCUGGGCUUCUUUGCCAAUUUUCUCGGCAUCUUCAUAUUUCUACUGGUAAUAGCGUAUCAUUUUGUGAUGGCCGACCCAAAAUAUGAAGGCAACUAAUGAUCUGUUUCUUUUUUAUGUAUUUGCAAUGGAUAUGCAAUUUUCUCGCAACUAAUGGGGUUACGCUAUUAAUUUUGUAGCGUGAACUAUUUCAGAAUGCAUACAACUUGAUUUAGUGAAAAGUUUUGGUAUACAAUAUGACUGUGCUGUUAUACACAUGAUUUUCUUUCUCUAGUUUAUCAGUGCUUCAUAUUUAGUUUUCCACGCCUUUGCAGUGUUAAGGGUGUGGACUGUGUUCGGACUGUGUUUU